AGUGAACGCUGGCGGCAGGCCUAACACAUGCAAGUCGAACGGCAGCACAAGAGAGCUUGCUCUCUGGGUGGCGAGUGGCGGACGGGUGAGGAAUGCAUCGGAAUCUGCCCAUUUGUGGGGGAUAACCUCGGGAAACCGGGACUAAUACCGCAUACGACCUACGGGUGAAAGCAGGGGAUCUUCGGACCUUGCGCCGAUGGAUGAGCCGAUGCCGGAUUAGCUAGUUGGAGGGGUAAAGGCCCACCAAGGCGACGAUCCGUAGCUGGUCUGAGAGGAUGAUCAGCCACACUGGGACUGAGACACGGCCCAGACUCCUACGGGAGGCAGCAGUGGGGAAUAUUGGACAAUGGGCGCAAGCCUGGUCCAGCCAUGCCGCGUGUGUGAAGAAGGCCUUCGGGUUGUAAAGCACUUUUGUUGGGAAAGAAAAGCAGCCGGUUAAUACCCGGUUGUCAUGACGGUACCCAAAGAAUAAGCACCGGCUAACUUCGUG
rnacentral:rRNA from 1 species